GCCGUGCUGGUCUCGGGGGUGUUUGGGGCCGGAAGGGACCUUCCACCAGCAUGCCCUGCGCUUGGGCCGGGGUCUUUCGCAGAUCGCCAGGGUGGGUGACCUGUUUCCCGUGCACCCAGCGACUUCCAGACUCAUCGAUUCAUAGAUGCUGCGGUGGGACGAGACCUCAAGAGAUCAUCGAGUCCGACCCCCUGCCCUGGGCAGGAAUGAGCGCUCACGUGUGGGAUCUCCGGACUCGCACUCGGAGCUGCUGCCAGCGAGAGGGCUGAGCACGGGCCUGCCCUAGGAAGAAGUGUGGUGCGCUACCGUGUGCUCGCCCUCUGCCCGCACCCUUGUAAGUGCGAGUACCCAGAGCCGUUUGCACCGAGACGGAGCACUAGUACCUGCCACGAAGCCGAGGUGGGCUCGCGACUCAAGAGGUGAGGGCGGUAAUCACCGUCCCAGGGAGCACGAGUGUUUCCCAGCCCUCGCACCCACUGAGAGCUGGGCAGGGCAUUUGGUGUGCACGAUCAUUUGCUCCGAGAGAGGUGGCAUGCGUGCCCCCAAGACAUGGGGCUGGAUCCUCUGAAGGAGUGUGCUAGCGCGUGUGAGCCAGAUUACACAGACAUGCUACUUCCAAGAGUGGGCGCCCAUCCUUGUUCAUGAACGUGAACCCUGGUGAAUGCUUGUGCACGGCCCUCUGUCUGUGAGUGCAUGCCUGGAACGGCUCGCCGAAUGUAAUCCAGAUGAGGGAGGAAGGAAGAGCAUCUGGCCUUGAUUGGGAGCGCACAUAAGCAUUCACACUCAAAAAGAACAGAGCUUAAUCCUUAGAGGGUGCUCGCAUGUUACGGGUUUGUGCAUAUAGCACAGUUACUCAUACACAAGAGUGGCUAAACCAUGGAAACUGAGUCCUAUUUCAUUCAGGAAGAAGCUGCCCUGAUUAGCUUACACUUACCGUGCAGAAGGCGCAGCCACAGAAACCAGUCCUGCAGAAGAGCCAGUAUGGGGAGCCAAAGAGAAAAAAAAGCGCUAUAGAAAUCGCAAGUUCAGAGAAAAUCUGGAGGAUUCGUGUUAGAGCAGUGAGGCAUGUCUUUGUGGCAGCGGAAGAAAUAAAUCCCUGUUGAUUAGAAGAGAUGCAGUUUACAUAUGUAUGUGUGAGCACCUGUGCAUGUAAUCACAUACACAGUAACACCAGCCAGCAGAGGUGAAAUGAGUAAUUCAGAAACAGGGAUUCAUGGAUAAGAAGUACCUGUGGAUUAUAACUAUCUGGAUUAUUUCGAGUGCAAAUGUUUUAUACCUUCCAUGGGAGGUUCUGCAACUCAGACUAACUAAUUAUAUGCCUAAAUACAACUCUAAGUGCCUAACAUUAAGCACCCAAGUGUGAAAAUGAUAGCCCAAAUCUGUUCCAAUGCCUUGCCACCAACUGGCAGAUACACACAGGCCACUUUGCAUGAACAAUAAAAGCCUUAUGAGAAGCUGAAAUCCUGUGAGCCUGAGCGUGAGCAGGCCCGGAGAUAAAAUGCUUUCAAUGUGCACAACAGAUGGGGGCUUUAGAGUGAGGAGCUGAUAAUCUGUGGAUUAAAGACUCCCUAAUUACACACUGACACUUCAAAACCAUGCCAGCCCCUGUUGUUUCAGUGAUGUACCACCUUCCGAGUGGAAGAUCCUAAGGAUCCAGCACUCCUUUAAUGCCCGCUGACAUGCUUCAGUGCUGCUACAGUGUCUGUGUGGCAUUAAUCUACAGAUCUGGGACUCCCUGCAUCCAUACCAGGGUGGCUGUGUCAUGCUUCCAGGAAGAAGUCCAUGUCUAUGUGAAGACCAAGUUGAGCCUCAAUGGAAGAACUAAAAUUGAAAUCUUGUCUUCUCUACCACGAGACCUCAAACCUGUUGCCAGCUUGUGCCAACUAAUGCCUGGAUCAUGAAAUUGGACUCAGUGUCAAGCAAUGGAUUCAUAAAGCUAAUAAUUUAAAUAUUUUCACUGAACUUUUAAUGGCAUCAAAACACUAUUCAGUUUAGAACUGCUAGGAAAUAUCUACAGUGAGCCUGUUAACUGACGCCUAUAAUAUAUAUUUGUUUCCCUGUAUCCUAAUAUGUAUUUUAAAUACCAAUUAAUCAAUCUACCAGCUUAUCUAUUUAACUAUGUUCUCAUCACCAGUAAUAAUAACAGUGAUUAUAAUUUUGAAGUGGAAAUUAGAAAUUUUUAAAGAAACCUUCAAAAAUUGGGUAUGAACUGUUUUUCUGCAUUUUUCCAACUAUCUCUACCAGUAAUACUUUACUUUGAUGAUCAUCUCUGUCUUUGAAUCAGCUACUGAACGCAGGUAACUGGGGGAGCUUUACAGUUUCCUAAAGUCCUGAGUGCCGAUACUUUUCUGUAAGUCACCCAUCUGAGACCUUCAGUGACGUGCACAGCAUCUUCCUGCCCGUUAUGUUCCUAGCUGGAAAUGAGGAUCUAGCAUGUGUUUUUGAAAAUGGAGACUGACACUGCUCAAUUGAACAUUAGGCUUAAACACGCGGACAAAGGGUCAUGUGAAACCUACUUCUGGAAGUGAGGGCAUGAUGUCUAGGAUGUCUUUAGCCCCAUCUAGGACUGGAAGUGAAGUCUCUGUGAGUUGCUUCUAUCAUAGCUGAACACAAUGGCUACAUUGUGUUCAGCCAUGAUAGAAGCAAUAAAGGUCACAUAAAGGUUCACAUAAAGGUCAUGGGUCCUACCUCCUCUCUUUCAUAGUGUCCUCUUUCUUUCCCACUUUUUCAUGUGGCAGUCAAUCUUUCCAUUUGAGAGAGACACAAGCGUGAACAUAAGCUGCCUACCAAGGCCAGGAAGCACAUUUCUUCUCAGUGGCAUGGGGCUCUCCCAGCCCAGUCUUGAUGCACCGCAAAUGGCCCAUUGCCAAUCCUUAGGGCUUUUAUUGUGUUUAGAUAAAUGUCCAAACAACGGAAAACUACUGCUGUCCAAAUUGGCUGGCAAAGUAGCAUAGAGAAACCUUUUAAUAUGCAGACAGAAUGAUAUUUCCUUUUACACAAGCUCUUUGUUUGGCAUCUUUCUGCCCAGGACAGACACAGACAGACACUGAUGACUCAGUCCUUCACUCAACAGACCCUGUUUAAUUGCAGUAGCCUGGGUAAGACCUGAGUCAUGUAGGAAUACUGCACGCUUCCUACAUGUUUCUUUGUCUUCAAAACUUGCUGUAGCAGAACUAGCCCCAGAAAUGAAUGGUUGCUUGUAUGAGGCUCACCUGGACAUCCCUCAAUGGCUAGAUCUAUCUGGGUAGAAGAUAAAGAAUUUGACUCUGACUCCACAUCUGAAUUUCAGAUUUGUUCUUAUUCUUUGCAAAAACACACUUUUGGAUCUGAUCAGCUCCUGCUUUCAAAAAUACAAAAUUAGUAUCUAAAACCAAAGCUGGGGCUCAGACCAAUCUUCAGAAUCUGAUUUAGAC